AGAGUUUGAUCCUGGCUCAGGAUGAACGCUAGCGACAGGCUUAACACAUGCAAGUCGAGGGGCAGCAUGAUUUGUAGCAAUACAGAUUGAUGGCGACCGGCGCACGGGUGAGUAACGCGUAUGCAACUUACCUAUCAGAGGGGGAUAGCCCGGCGAAAGUCGGAUUAAUACCCCAUAAAACAGGGGUUCCGCAUGGGAAUAUUUGUUAAAGAUUCAUCGCUGAUAGAUAGGCAUGCGUUCCAUUAGGCAGUUGGCGGGGUAACGGCCCACCAAACCGACGAUGGAUAGGGGUUCUGAGAGGAAGGUCCCCCACAUUGGUACUGAGACACGGACCAAACUCCUACGGGAGGCAGCAGUGAGGAAUAUUGGUCAAUGGCCGAGAGGCUGAACCAGCCAAGUCGCGUGAAGGAAGAAGGAUCUAUGGUUUGUAAACUUCUUUUAUAGGGGAAUAAAGUGGAGGACGUGUCCUUUUUUGUAUGUACCCUAUGAAUAAGCAUCGGCUAACUCCGUGCCAGCAGCCGCGGUAAUACGGAGGAUGCGAGCGUUAUCCGGAUUUAUUGGGUUUAAAGGGUGCGUAGGUGGUGAUUUAAGUCAGCGGUGAAAGUUUGUGGCUCAACCAUAAAAUUGCCGUUGAAACUGGGUUACUUGAGUGUGUUUGAGGUAGGCGGAAUGCGUGGUGUAGCGGUGAAAUGCAUAGAUAUCACGCAGAACUCCGAUUGCGAAGGCAGCUUACUAAACCAUAACUGACACUGAAGCACGAAAGCGUGGGGAUCAAACAGGAUUAGAUACCCUGGUAGUCCACGCAGUAAACGAUGAUUACUAGGAGUUUGCGAUACAAUGUAAGCUCUACAGCGAAAGCGUUAAGUAAUCCACCUGGGGAGUACGCCGGCAACGGUGAAACUCAAAGGAAUUGACGGGGGCCCG
rnacentral:rRNA from 1 species